ensembl:lncRNA
AGCACAUGCAGAAAUGGCUGUCACCCCAACGCCCAGACCAAUCUACAUAAGCCGGACUUAUGUUUGGACUACUGCCUUUCGACAAUUUAACAGACCCAGAUUUUCAGAGAGCUCUGGAAUGCUUUGUCACGUUUGCGAGCGAUGAAACGGAGGAAGAUGCUGAAGACUUGGGAGGGCCACGACGAGAGUGCUUUUGUUUACUUGUGAGGGAAGAUAGUGGAGCAUUUGAAGGUACUUCCAUUUCUGAGGGAAAAUCGGAGCAUGAGAUUCUUUCUCGACAUGCCUGAGAAGAGAGAGGAGGUCACAGCAGAAGUUCUUGCUUGCCUCUUAAAGCCAAGCUACUCUGUCCUGGGAAGCAACAGAAGGCCAAAAGAGGAGCUCAUGGUGGUCAAGUUUAGAGACUUUCUCCAGUGUUUUGCGAAUAAAGAGCUUGGUGAAAUACUGGGGGCCAGGACGCUGACUGAAGAGGAGCAGGACUUCGUUCAUCACUUGGGCCUCGGUCACAUCCUGGCUUUUGCAACAGGGAGCAGCAAAGUUCCAGCAGUCGGAUUUCACCCAAAUCCUAAAAUUGUGUUUGUUCACGAUGAGACAAAGCAUUACCCUGUUGCGCACACCUGCUCCAAUGAGCUGCUGUUGUUUGUCAAUUCCAAAAACAUGGCAGUUGAUGAGGAGUUUGAGUACCACUUUGUGGUGGCCCUA